rnacentral:rRNA from 1 species
UGGGGAAUUUUGGACAAUGGGCGAAAGCCUGAUCCAGCAAUGCCGCGUGUGUGAAGAAGGCCUUCGGGUUGUAAAGCACUUUUGUCCGGAAAGAAAUCCUUGGCUCUAAUACAGUCGGGGGAUGACGGUACCGGAAGAAUAAGCACCGGCUAACUACGUGCCAGCAGCCGCGGUAAUACGUAGGGUGCAAGCGUUAAUCGGAAUUACUGGGCGUAAAGCGUGCGCAGGCGGUUUGCUAAGACCGAUGUGAAAUCCCCGGGCUCAACCUGGGAACUGCAUUGGUGACUGGCAGGCUAGAGUAUGGCAGAGGGGGGUAGAAUUCCACGUGUAGCAGUGAAAUGCGUAGAGAUGUGGAGGAAUACCGAUGGCGAAGGCAGCCCCCUGGGCCAAUACUGACGCUCAUGCACGAAAGCGUGGGGGAGCAAAACAGGAUUAGAUACCCUGGUAGUCCACGCCCUAAACGAUGUCAACUAGUUGUUGGGGGAUUCAUUUCCUUAGUAACGUAGCUAACGCGUGAAGUUGACCGCCUGGGGAGUACGGCCGCAAGGUUAAAAACUUAAAGGAAUUGACGGGGUCAUAGCUGUUUCCU